UCAACUGAUGGUGGCAAUCGCUUCAAUUGAAGAGGAAAGUCCGGUCUCCACAGGGUAGAAUGGUUUUUAACAGAAACCGAGGGUGACCUCAGGGAAAGUGCAACAGAAAAUAAACCGCCUGCUUGCAGGUAAGGGUGAAAUGGCGGGGUAAAAGCCCACCGCUUUUAUGGCGACAUAAAAGGCAGUGUAAACCCCAUUCGGAGCAAGACCAAGCAGGAACAAGGAACGACCCGUUCCAUUUGAGUUUCGGGUAGGUUGCUCGAGCUUUUUGGCAACAAAAAGCCUAGAUUAAUGAUUGCCUACAUUCUUUAUGGAUGUAAACAGAAACCGGCUUACAAAUCAGUUGACUUU
rnacentral:RNase_P_RNA from 1 species